rnacentral:tRNA from 1 species
GCGCUUAUGGUGUAAGGCGUAGCAUCACUGCCGAGAAAUCAGAAGGUGCGGGUUCGAAUCCCGCCUGGCGCA